CACAGCAAUCGACAACCUCGUUCCAUUCUGCUGAUGAAACGAUUGCUUUGUAGAUAAUAUGCAUUGAUUAAUAUGCAUUGAUCAUAUAUAACUUGAUUACAAAUAUAUAUAAUGAUUAUUUUUUUAAUAUAGGUAAUAACAUAAACUUUAGUGGAAUUUGUAGUUAUACUUUUGUGUAAUUUUUAGUGUAAUGUUUGUAUUUGUAGCCAAUUUUGCCUGCAACAAACUAUUUUGAUAACCACAUCAAAACAUAGUACAAUAUCGUAUCUAAUAAUACGUUGUCCUCCUUGCUGCUUAUUUACAUCUUUACGAAGAAAUUCUCUACAUUGAAUUUAGCGUGAGCAGAAGCUUUGUGUAACAGUUCAAUUGGAUUCUCCAAAGAUUCGCCAUUCAACCACAACCAUUUUGGUUUUGCACAGCAGGAAGAAAAAAAACACAAUAUGAAGAAAAGAACAAGGCCAUAUUUCAACUCUUUCAUACUUUACACAACAGCCCAAGAGAAGAUUUACGUCCAAUUCUUCAAGUUUCAAAGUAGAUUUACUGCCAGUACAUCAUUCCUAUGGCACAGCUAUAUUUAUACCAUCAAGCAUCAAGUGUUUUUAAACACAGACAUCAAGCUUCUUAACAGCUUGAGUUUACUAAAUGGAUUCGGGCUGUUCUUAGUUUGGAUAAUACCUUUCAAAGUCUUUAAGCAACAAGAGAACACUUGACAGACAAAAAAAUGCCGAGAACCGAAAGCCUAUUACUAUAUGUUGCUUAAUUGGUUAAAUGGGUAUUCAGUGUUCUAUGUUUUGCCAAUAAUUUCGCUAUUGUUUGGUUCAUUUUAGACACAGCUUGAGCAUAGUUAUAUUUUGUAUCGGUGUUCAACUGCAUUGAAGCAUUAAGUGCUUUUAUAAACUGUAGUGACAACGUGUGUUAAGUACGUAGCGUUGCCAGAUGGAAUAGAAUCUUCUAACUUUGCAAAACAGCAUUCACAAAAAAUUA